CCUACGGGAGGCAGCAGUGAGGAAUAUUGGACAAUGGGCGCAAGCCUGAUCCAGCCAUGCCGCGUGCAGGAAGACGGUCCUAUGGAUUGUAAACUGCUUUUGUACGGGAAGAAACACUCCUUCGUGAAGGAGCUUGACGGUACCGUAAGAAUAAGGAUCGGCUAACUCCGUGCCAGCAGCCGCGGUAAUACGGAGGAUCCAAGCGUUAUCCGGAAUCAUUGGGUUUAAAGGGUCCGUAGGCGGUUUAGUAAGUCAGUGGUGAAAGCCCAUCGCUCAACGGUGGAACGGCCAUUGAUACUGCUAGACUUGAAUUAUUAGGAAGUAACUAGAAUAUGUAGUGUAGCGGUGAAAUGCUUAGAGAUUACAUGGAAUACCAAUUGCGAAGGCAGGUUACUACUAAUGGAUUGACGCUGAUGGACGAAAGCGUGGGUAGCGAACAGGAUUAGAUACCCUGGUAGUCCACGCCGUAAACGAUGGAUACUAGCUGUUGGGGGCAACUUCAGUGGCUAAGCGAAAGUGAUAAGUAUCCACCUGGGGAGUACGUUCGCAAGAAGUAGAAGUUACGAAGUAAGUUAGUUAGGCGNGAGAGNGCGACGGACGACGACGAGGAGGAGG
rnacentral:rRNA from 1 species